CACGAGUUUGACCUGGCUCAGGAUGAACGCUAGCGGCAGGCUUAACACAUGCAAGUCGAGGGGUAGGUUACUUCGGUAAUUGAGACCGGCGCACGGGUGCGUAACGCGUAUACAAUCUACCUUUACAGAGGGAUAGCCCAGAGAAAUUUGGAUUAAUACCUCAUAGUAUUUUUGAAUCGCAUGAUUUGAUUAUUAAAGUUCCAACGGUAAAAGAUGAGUAUGCGUCCCAUUAGCUAGAUGGUAAGGUAACGGCUUACCAUGGCUACGAUGGGUAGGGGUCCUGAGAGGGAGAUCCCCCCACACUGGUACUGAGACACGGACCAGACUCCUACGGGAGGCAGCAGUGAGGAAUAUUGGACAAUGGGCGCAAGCCUGAUCCAGCCAUGCCGCGUGCAGGAAGAAGGUCCUAUGGAUUGUAAACUGCUUUUAUACAGGAAGAAACACUCCCUCGUGAGGGAACUUGACGGUACUGUAUGAAUAAGGACCGGCUAACUCCGUG
rnacentral:rRNA from 1 species